UACGUAGGGCGCAAGCGUUAUCCGGAAUUAUUGGGCGUAAAGAGCUCGUAGGCGGUUUGUCGCGUCUGCCGUGAAAGCCCGGGGCUUAACCCCGGGUCUGCAUUCGAUACGGGCAGGCUAGAGUGUGGUAGGGGAGAUCGGAAUUCCCGGUGUAGCGGUGAAAUGCGCAGAUAUCAGGAGGAACACCAGUGGCGAAGGCGGUGGUCUGGGCCGGUACUGACGCUGUAGAGCGAAAGCGUGGGGAGCGAACAGG
rnacentral:rRNA from 1 species